CCCACCUGCAGCCGCACCCCCUUCUCCAACGGACAUCUUCUUCCCCAACCGGCGGAUUUAUUGCACAGUGAGUGUCCUGUUCUUUAUGGUUUAGGUGGCGUAAGGAAGAGCAAUCAGCCGUGCUUUCCACAACCACGGAUUCUACUACCCAGGAGAUGGCAGAGUGGAAAGCCAGAUACUAGGAGAAGUUUGGCUUCAUGUUUAUUAUUUGUGCCUCUCAGAGGACUGCACUUGAGCCUGGGUAAGCUAAGGUCACCAGUGGCUUGCAACAACUUCCUGAUGCUUCUUGCAGAGAUUGUGCAGGUCAUGCUAGACAAGUGCUAUAUUUUGCAGGAGUCAUAAGGUAGCAUCAAGGUAAAAAAAGAAAAUUGUAUUUGUAGUGCAUUUUGGAGUAUUCCAUCAGAGUGAUUCAAUCCUACAUCCUACUUCAAGAAUGUUAUUCUCACGUACCAUUUGAUAAUGUGUAGCGGCCUGCCAAGGGGUUAAGCACUCGCUCUUCCAUGCUCCAGCAGCUUAAGGAGCAUGAGAAUGGACUCGUACAUGAAAAUAACAGACACAUCAUUUCAAAACCUACCUAUCUAACUGUAAACUUCUUGUGGCUAUCAAUCUCGGGUGUUGUGACCAUAACUGAUACUGCAUUUCUGAUGGUGUGGUGGUGAAGCCAAAUUGGUGGGAGAGAUGACUUGCAGUGUAUAUUAUUAAAAUCACAAUGUGCAUUAAUAUUUGUAUUUACUUGAGCAUGUGUACAGUGAAAAACUCAGCAGUCUGAGUUGCACAAUGCAAAUUUACUUCAGUUAAAACAUUAA